GACGAACGCUGGCGGCGUGCUUAACACAUGCAAGUCGAACGGAAAGGCCCUGCUUUUGUGGGGUUCUCGAGUGGCGAACGGGUGAGUAACACGUGAGUAACCUGCCCUUGACUUUGGGAUAACUUCAGGCAACUGGGGCUAAUACCGGAUAGGAGCUCCUGCUGCAUGGUGUGGGUUGGAAAGUUUCGGCGGUUGGGGAUGGACUCGCUGCUUAUCGGCUUGUUUGUGGGGUAGUGGCUUACCAAGGCUUUGACGGGUAGCCGGCCUGAGAGGGUGACCGGCCACAUUGGGACUGAGAUACGGCCCAGACUGCUAAGGGAGGCAGCAGUGGGAAAUAUUGCACAAUGGGCGGAAGCCUGAUGAAGAAACGCCGCGUGCGGGAUGACGGUCUUAGGGUUGUAAACCGCUUUCGCCUGUGACGAAGCGUGAGUGACGGUAAUGGGUAAAGAAGCACCGGCUAACUACGUG
rnacentral:rRNA from 1 species